UGGGCGCGCGCCGAGGGCGUUUCCAGGCCCGGGGGAUGCUCCGCUCCGGGUUUUCCCGGAGACCUGGAUCCGCAGAGGGGCCGGGAACCUGGGGCCCGGCGCUCCUGUACCCCAACUCAGCCUGGGACAGAGGGGGCGUCGGGCCCUCGGAGGAAGCCCGCCUCGGAAGGAGUCUGGGCCAAAAAGGAGGCGGGGGAGAGGCGGACUGAGCAGGGCAAAACAACUUUGAUUUUUAGUUGUACUUAACUCGCUCUCCUCCCUUCGCUCCCCUUCCCCAAAACGACUUUCUCUUCCGGGGUCAGGCAGGACCGCCCCGAAGCGUACCUCGCGCGCCGUGGGCGCCUCGAGCCAGGGCGUUCGGCGGGGUUUGGAGGUGUCUGCACCGCCCUGGCCGCUGCUUCCUCGGCCACUUGCGCGCUCGCUGCACAGCAGCCCGAGCCGUAGGCGCGCCGCCCCCAGCACCCGCGGCGCCCAGUCCGGCCGUGACCCCCCGGCCCGCGGGCACCGCCUGCAGGCUGUGUGACCUGGAGCACAUCUUCAGGAAUCAUUCAUUGUGUGUGUGCGUGGUAAUAGGAAAUCCCUCUCCCCAUGCCACCAAAAGCCUAGGAGUCAGAGAGUCUGCGAGAUUCUCCUAGAUGUGGAUGCACCCUCUCGGGAACCCAAACGCAGAAACGAGCUGGCAAAGAAACCCAUUUUGUGCCACUUUUAAUGGAAAACUGGUUCCUGACUGAGAGAUUGAGUCUAGAAUGCUUCGUUCCAGUUGAACACCCCAAAAGCAGUCUCUACUAGCUGUGCAGCAUUAGUAUCAGGACCUAUAGCCAACUUGUGGAGUUUCCUACGGAUGUCUGGAGCACUUACAGAUGUGAAACAGACCCUCCCACAUCCUAUUACAGAGGGAAGAUAAGUUAAACCUUACUCAAGUUGACUAAUUGAUGAAACCCUGAAUAGUCUUCUCAUCUUCCAAAGAUCCUUGAAGGGAAUUAUGCUAAGACGCAAAGAAGAGGGAAAAGGCACCACCACAUCCAGCAGCUGGACCCAGCCACCGCCCCGCAGGGUUGCUGGAGAAGCUCCAAUUCAAGAGCAAGCCAUUCUGCUCCCCAACCCACCCGCUCCUAACUUCAGUUUCUAUAGGAAGAUGACCAGGAGGGAGAAGGGAAGUAGUCUCUUCUCCCCAAACUCUGGACAGGAAGGGAGUCUUGCCUCUCUUUUCCUCUCUUUAAAUAGAUCUGUGUCAGGCUGAACAAGGGAAGGGAGAAUUGAGAGAGAGGGCAGGGCUGAGAGGGGGCAGUAGAGGAGUACCCUAUACACCCACCAUUUGGCAUAAACAUCCCUUGGGGGAAAGGGACCAUGAAAGGUCACUAGGACUGACUGUCUAUCUCGUAGCCCGCCCAGGAGAGAGCCACCUGCUGGAGGAGGAAGUGCUGCUUCCUCUGCCUGGAACACGCCUUUCAGCACCGAUCCUUGUCAUUCAUUGCUCAGUUCAAAUGUCAUCUCCUCAGAGAGGCCUCUGCCCUCUGGAUCUGAUGCUCCAGAGCAAGAGUAUUCAUUCAUUUGGGUGGAAAAAAUGGAGCAUCAGAAAGUGCACCUUAGGUGUCCAUUUUAUCACCGUCGAGCAAGUCCUCAAUGGCCUGUUUUGAGGCCUAGAAAACACACUUUUGCCUGUUUCGUUCAUUGUUUCUCCUACUCCAAGGACAGUGCCUGGCAUGCUGCACUGGAGACAACCAGUGAGUAGUUGUUGAAUUCGUGACAGAAAGGACGAACAUGGGCUUUAUUACCCGAGACAGGUUCAAAACCAAUCUACCCCACUUACUGGUUGUGACCUGGGAAAAUUCUCAUUUUUAAGUUGGAAAUAGUUUUUUUUUUUAUUUUUCUGAUCACAAAAACACAUAUAUGUUCACUAUGAAAUAUUCAGAUAAUAUAGAAAAAUAAUGAAAACCAGUAAAAAAAUAUAUAAUCCCAACUCCCGAAAGUUGUCAACAUUUUUAGUAUAGAGCCCCUAACCUCUGACCUUAGUUUCCAUACAUGAGAAAUGGAGAGUACAACAGCUAUUCUGUAGGAAAUGACUGCCCGUAGGUGCUGUUAUUUAUCUAGAGGGAAGACCGGCAUGUAUUUACCUCCAGACACAUGGGAAAUACUCUCUAAUUUUGCGACAUCAUCAAAAAACUUAACUCCAAUUUCAGAGGUUUAUAGGAAUGAAUAUUGUAGAAAAUAGUCACCAUCAGAAAAAAUAGCCACUAUCAGAGCUCAUAUCCUAAGAGAGAACUUCUAAUGCUGCUGCUGAUACUAAGGUGGGAGGAGAAGGGUCCUCUCAACUCCUUUAAAAUGGAUAAAUACAUGUGCAAAUAAAGCCAACAUUUUUAAGUGUUUACUAUGGGCCAGGCUUUGUGUUAAGCAUUGUUUUCGGGUAUCUUCUCACCUAAGCCUUACAAUAGUCAUGUGCUGUAAUUACUAUUAUUAUUCCUAUUUUACAGAUGAGGAAACUGAGGCUUAAAGAGAUUCGAUAGCCACUUUUGCAGGUCAUAGGGCUUGAAAGUAAGGAAACCAGAAUGUAAACCCUGGAUCUGACUCCAGAGUUCUCACAGAGCAUUUUAGAAUAACAUCCAGUGUGAACGUGACACAGAAGGAUGGAGGUCUACCUGCAGUCUAGAAGAAUGCAAAAUACGAAUGACAUCCAGGGGAUCAGGGGAUGAGGGUCAUGAUCAUAGGCGUGCGCCUUCUGUUCCACUCUGCUGCAAAUUUGAAGUAGGAUUCGUCGGUCAGUUGACUUUACUUAAGAUGAAUCUGCCCAUUGAAUCCUGAUGACCACUAGGAAAACUGGUGAAAAUACCAUUCGUCAGACUCCAAAGUUCAGUUGCAGACCCUGGACUCAAAGUGACUUCACCAAGCUUCCCCCUGAGGCCAAGACAGAGCCGUCACCAUAUCUCAGCUGUAGGGUCAGGGACAUUGAUAAGACAUUCCAUAUUCUCCAGCUGGUUUUUGUUAGCUGAUAGUGAAAUCAAGAAAGACGAUUGGAAAAUAUGUAGUUAUGGUCCAAAAAUCUUUUUAUGCGGUGAUUAGAAUUUGAAUUCCUUACAUGUCAAUUCACCCUUACUAGUCUAACGGAAAGAUCCUUUGACUGGCUAGGCAUGCAAAGGUCAUAUUGAUGACCAGUCUGGUUAGAAGCUGGAGCAUCCCAGGAGAACUCCAAAUGCAUCCUCCUCUGCCUCCCAGCCCUAGUGUGCUUUCACCCUAGGGCCUCUGAACUCAUAUCCUUUUGAUUGCCUCCUGCUUCACCAAGAUUCCAGUAUCCUUAUUUCUAACAUCAGCCCAGAAUCCUACCUUCAGUUCUUCAUGGCUCCCUUUGCUUGAAUGCUUGCUAUUGGUAUUCUUGACAUUGGGCCACAUCUCACUGUACAUAAAUCCAGAAAUUGGACUCUUUUUUUUUGACAUUGCACACCCAGAAGUAAGAAAUAUUGUUGAAAGAAGUAAAAGGACUUUGGCAUUAGACUUGACUUGGGCUGGAAUUCAAGUCCCAUUAUUCACUAGCCAUGCAAGCUUGACUCAGUCUUGAAAAUCAGUUUUUUAUCCUGUGAAAAUAGGGAAAAUGCAUCUUAUCCUGCACUAUUCUUGGGACUAAAUGAAAUGACAAAUGAAUAAUGGUCUGUGGCAAUGCUGGGACGUUAUGGGCUCUCAGUGAUCUUAGCCCUUUUUUUUUCUUUUCAUAGCUGCCUGCAUGAUUUUCUAGACCAGAGGUCAGCAAACUAUUUCUGUGACAGACCAGAGAAUAAAUAUUUUAGGCUUUGGUGGCCUGUUCAGACUCUGUCGUAACUACUCACUCAUGCCAGUAAAGCUAUGUAAAUUUGGGCCAGGGUUGUAGAAGAGUAUUGCAUUCCACAAUCAAAUUGCAGCCCAAUACUGGAAUUACUAUAAUUCAGUUAUAAGAAGGUCUCUAACUCUUUAUGUCUCUCCUGUAAGUCUUACGUACAAAUGUAAAUUAAACGGUUCCUUAGUACCUCAUUCUGCUUUUCAUUUAAAGGAAAAUCUACAGUGGAUCUGGGAUGGCAUCAACCUUCCUCAAAUCUGUCCAGCUUCACAGUCUUAGUGAGUUGCUGACAUAUAAUAGUUUUCUACUCCUCACAGGAUGACUCCCAUUUGUUGCAACAAGGAAAAAAGCUACUCUAGGUCAUCGUGGCUGGUGAAUGGUCCUGGAGCUAUCACUAUGGCAAAGAAAAAGGCGAUGUCCUAGGUUUAAAUAAUGAUAAAUAAGAAACAGUGCUAUCAAUUUCUUAUGGAAACUCUACGAAGCAUCUGCUAAGUGCCAUUUAACCUCUAAAGAAUCCUCCAAGGUAGAUUUUCCCCAUUUUAUGUUUAAAGUUAUCAAGGCUCAGAGAAUUUAGACACCUGCCAAGUUCAUCUAAACAGCAGUUAAUCAAGCUGGAUCUAAAAUCCUGGACUUCCCCAGCUCUGGAUGACCAUUCUGCUUGUACCACACCAAGAUGUACCUUUCAAAGACUAGGAAAAUAAUUAUACAACAAAGUACCUUGGAAAAUCCAGCUCUCUCUUUACCUAUUUGUUUUCUAAUUAAAACUGCUUGUCCUUGACCACUACCCUUUGAGAAAAUAAACUAUGUCUUUCAGUUUG